AAGUACAUUUUUACAAUUUUCAGUGGUUACCGUCCCUUGUUCUGCCCAGUCAAAUGGAAGUCCAGACGACACUGGUCCUAGAGUAGGGAUAGCAUUUGGGACCUUAGUUUUAGGCAUAAUUGUGGGUGCUGUUGGUGUAUUUAUGUUUUUACGAUACCGCUUCAGAAAGGCAGAUAAUGAGGAUGCACAAAUGUUGAAGACCUGGAAUAAUUAACAUACUGCACGUGUGAUUAUGCAAGAGGAAUGUUUGAGUUGUAUCACUUUUUAUUUGUUAAUGGACGUUGGAUUUUUAUUUUAUAAGAUACUCAAAAAUAUGUUAAAGACACUAUCUACAAUACUAUAUGUAUAUAAAUAAAUGCUUGCUAUGUAGUAUA